rnacentral:rRNA from 1 species
UACGUAGGCAGCAAGCGUUGUUCGGAGUUACUGGGCGUAAAGGGUGUGUAGGCGGUUGUUUAAGUUUGGUGUGAAAUCUCCCGGCUCAACCGGGAGGGUGCGCCGAAUACUGAAUGACUAGGGUGCGGGAGAGGAAAGUGGAAUUCCUGUGUAGCGGUGAAAUGCGUAGAUAUCAGGAGGAACACCGGUGGUGUAGACGGCUUUCUGGACCGUAACUGACGCUGAGGCACGAAAGCGUGGGGAGCAAACAGG